rnacentral:rRNA from 1 species
UAGAGUUUGAUCCUGGCUCAGAACGAACGCUGGCGGCACGCCUCAUACAUGCAAGUCGAGCGAGAAAUCACCUUCGGGUGACGUAAAGCGGCGAACGGGUGAGUAACAGGUGGGUAAUCUGCCUCCUGGCGGGGGACAACAGCUGGAAACGGCUGCUAAUACCGCAUGUGGUUGUGCGCUUAUGGCGUGCAAAGAAAGGCGCUUCACGGCGUCACCAGGAGAUGAGCCCGCCCCCCAUUAGCUGGUUGGUGAGAUAACAGCUCACCAAGGCAUCGAUGGGUAGCCGAGCUGAGAGGUUGAUCGGCCACACUGGAACUGAGACACGGUCCAGACACCUACGGGUGGCAGCAGUAGGGAAUAUUGCGCAAUGGGCGAAAGCCUGACGCAGCGAUGCCGCGUGAGUGACGAAGGUCCUAGGAUUGUAAAGCUCUUUUCUGAGGGAAGAAUAGGUCCGGUAGGAAAUGAUCGGAUUCUGACGGUACCUCAGGAAUAAGGAACGGCUAACUCCGUGCCAGCAGCCGCGGUAAUACGGAGGUUCCAAGCGUUGUUCGGAAUUACUGGGCGUAAAGGGAGCGCAGGCGGACAGGUCAGUUUAAAGUGGAAUCCCAGGGCUCAACCCUGGACGUGCUUUGGAUACUGCCUGUCUUGAGUUCGUGAGAGGAAAGUGGAAUUCAGGGUGUAGCGGUGAAAUGCUUAGAUAUCCUGAGGAACACCAGUGGCGAAAGCGACUUUCUGGCACGAAACUGACGCUGAGGCUCGAAAGCAUGGGUAGCGAACGGGAUUAGA